UUUUAGGGAGACCCACUUUUCAGUGAACAAUAAACAGUUAACAGUGAGCAAAAGAUAACUGAUAACUGAUAACUGAAAAGACAUCCCGAGGUCGGUCGCAAACUAAAGGAAAGCUUUCAAACUAUAAGAAAGGUUCGUUGGAUAUGGGCUAUUAGCUCAGGUGGUUAGAGCGCACCCCUGAUAAGGGUGAGGUCCCUGGUUCGAGUCCAGGAUGGCCCACCUGAACAAGUAAAAAGAAUUAAGUAAAAAGUAAAAAGAAAGAAUUUUUUUGCCUUUGAGCUUUUGGUUUUUUUCACUUGUAGUGUGGGGGUAUAGCUCGGUGUGUAAAGCGAAUUGUAAUGCGUUGCACAGUGAGAUGAGAGUCUGGUGACCUCCUUUUGGGUGUUCACAAUAAAGAUCACAAUUCAAAGAUGGAGUGAGAUUCAGCAUCGAAAGAAAAUUCGACUGCUGGAGAUUUUUCCAGCGAUAGAACCUUGAAAACUGCAUAGAAACGCGAAAGCAGGUAGUCAAAAGUCAGUAAGCUCAGAGGAAAAAGACCCAGAGCAAGACAAAAGACACCAAAAGCCAAAGUUGCGU
rnacentral:tRNA from 1 species